UGGCGCCCAGCAUGACCCGCCGGUCGGCCGGGCUCUUGCCCUGGGUGAAGCGGGGGAUGAGCGUGUUCUGGACGUGGUAGAGGGGCUCAAACAGGUAGAAGACGUCCAGGUGCUGGUUGAAGAGCUGGCCCACGAAGGAGGAGCCGCUGCGCGUGGUGGCCAGGAUGAGGAUGUGGGUCUUGCGGGAGAGGUUGUAGGCGAAGGUGGGGCUCUCCUCGCACAGUCGCUCGGCCAGCCCGGCCUCUGCCAGCCCGGGGCAGGUGUGAAAGGACUUGGCGGUGAAGGUGCGGAUGGCCGUGUACUGGAUGGCAAUGGAGGCCAGGGCAAGGAGGAGGACGGCCUUCCAGGAACAUUGCAUGGCUGGGCACCUUCAUGGGGCUGCUUCUCCACGGGGUGAGGUCUGUGGGCAAAGGCGGCCAGCGGUCAGGUGCCUCCACGGCGGGGGCACUGGCUUGUCCCUUGGAAGAGCCGGUCUCCAGGAGGCCCAGGGAAAGGCCCGGCUCCUGUCCAGUGCUCACCACACACCCUGAAGACCUAAGCAGCUUCUACACUAGACUACCAUUCUCUGGGGGACUCCUGGGAGCUUUGGGGAGCUGAACAAACAUUCCUUGCACCCCAGGAUUUAACCUGCGGACAGCUGCGGAAGCCUCUUAUCCUGAGCUCUGAGUUCCUUAGAGGGGCCUCACGGGGCAAGAGCCUGACUCCCCCUACUCCCGCACUGAGGAAAUGACAAGGGCCUGCCUCAAACACUGCCCCUCCUCACUGCCAGCGUCUCCCACCCCCACGAACUGGCGCCCAGUUCUCCAGGUGGUCCUCUUUCCUCUGUCCUCUGCCCAUCCCUAGGGGAAAGAAGAGUCCCUAUCAGAUGCCUCCAUCUGACCCCAAUCCCCUGAGCACGAAGGACCCCUGCAGACCAUGGUCGGUGAGCUGCCAGCACGGCCAGGCAAGGUGGACCACUGUGUCAAGCCCCUUCCAACUCAUGGAUGCAGCGAUUCCCCAGGAAGUGGGUUAGCAGAAGUCAGCAAGGGCAUGGGGGCUUACCCCGGCCUCCAGGUCGAAAGGGCGCCUCCGGGAAUGCAGCUGGGGAGAAAGUCUUCUUCCAACCACACCGAAGUGACACCAGCUACCUGAAACUCAAAGCGAAAGUGGACCAGGGAGCAUUCCUGACCUUGAUGCACCUCAUAGAGUCUGAAUUAAAACACCAAGAUCGCCACAUUAUCUCAGUUAACAUUUUU
rnacentral:lncRNA from 1 species